rnacentral:rRNA from 2 species
AGUGGCGAAGGCGGCUUUUUUGGUCUGUAAACUGACGCUGAGGCGUGAAAGCGUGGGGAGCAAACAGGAUUAGAUACCGUGGUAGUCCCACGCCGUAAACGAUGAGUGCUAAGUGUUAGAGGGGUUUCCGCCCUUUAGUGCUGCAGCUGACGCAUUAAGCACUCCGCCUGGGGAGUACGGUCGCAAGACUGAAACUCAAAGGAAUUGACGGGGGCCCGCACAAGCGGUGGAGCAUGUGGUUUAAUUCGAAGCAACGCGAAGAACCUUACCAGGUCUUGACAUCCUCUGACAACUCUAGAGAUAGAGCGUUCCCCUUCGGGGGACAGAGUGACAGGUGGUGCAUGGUUGUCGUCAGCUCGUGUCGUGAGAUGUUGGGUUAAGUCCCGCAACGAGCGCAACCCUUGAUCUUAGUUGCCAGCAUUUAGUUGGGCACUCUAAGGUGACUGCCGGUGACAAACCGGAGGAAGGUGGGGAUGACGUCAAAUCAUCAUGCCCCUUAUGACCUGGGCUACACACGUGCUACAAUGGAUGGUACAAAGGGCUGCAAGACCGCGAGGUCAAGCCAAUCCCAUAAAACCAUUCUCAGUUCGGAUUGUAGGCUGCAACUCGCCUACAUGAAGCUGGAAUCGCUAGUAAUCGCGGAUCAGCAUGCCGCGGUGAAUGACGUUCCCGGGCCUUGUACGAUACCGCCCUGUC